CUUCCAAGCUUCCUACAGGGAAGCGCCUACGAGGGACCAGACCAGGACAAUUCUGGGAAAUAGACUUUACUGAAAUUAAACCAGCAAGGUAUGGACUUAAGUAUCUUCUAGUUUUUUGUAGAUACUUUUUCAGGGUGGGUUGAAGCCUUCCCCACGAAAAAAGAAACAGCUCAAGUGGUAAUCAAAAAGAUCCUGGAGGACAUCUUCCCGAGAUUCGGCCUGCCUAAGGUAAUAGGGUCCGAUAAUAGACCGGCGUUCGUGGCCCAGGUAAGUCAGGGAUUGGCCAGGACCCUGGGGAUUAAUUGGAAGUUACAUUGUGCUUAUAGACCCCAGAGCUCAGGACAGGUAGAAAGGAUGAAUAGGACUAUUAAAGAGACCUUAACAAAAUUGAGCUUAGAGACCGGCAUAAAAGAUUGGACUAUGCUCCUACCUUAUACACUGUUUCGUGCAAGAAAUACUCCCUCAGUCUCUUUAUGUAAUCUUUCCCCCUAUGAAGUUCUCUAUGGUACCCCUCCUCCAAUAAGAGACCUAACCCCAACUUUGAAACUUAAUGAUUCCUUCCAUACUCCCUUGCUUGACAGACUUAAAGCUCUUGAAAAAACCCAGCAGUACCUGUGGAAACAGCUGGCUGCUUCCUGCCAACCUGGAGACGAAGGGACCCCACACCAAUACCAAGUGGGAGACUUCGUCUAUAUAAGACGACAUCAGGUGUCAUUCCUGGAGCCUCGCUGGAAAGGAACCUGGUGGGCAUGUGACUCAGGGUUAACUCCUUGCAUUUCAGCCCAGAUAUUUAACAACUCUGUAAAUUAUUGUGUAAUGGUACAAAUAUUUCCCAGAGUGCUCUAUCAUGACGCAAAUCCAUUUGAAGAUCAAAUAAGGGGAUAUACCACCCGAUUCCGCCGGGAACCUGUGUCCCUCACUUUAGCCAUAUUAUUAGAAAUAGGAGUUGCUAUAGGAGUGGGUACAGGAACCGCUGCCCUGGUCCAUGGGUCUCAACAAAUGGCCCAAUUACAAGCAGCAAUAGAUCAGGACUUAAAAACAUUAGAAACCUCCAUCACAGCCUUACAAGAGUCCCUAACCUCUCUCUCUAAAGUUGUUUUACAAAAUAGACGAGGGUUAGACCUCCUCUUCAUGAGGGAAGGGGGACUCUGUGCUGCCUUAAGGGAGAAAUGUUGCUUCUAUGCUGACCAUAGUGGGGUAGUCAAAGAAUCAAUGACUAAAUUAAGAAAACACCUUGAGGAGCGACAACGAGAGAGAGAAACUCAAAAAGGAUGGUUUGAGUCUUGGUUCACACAAUCCCCCUGGCUAACUACACUCUUAUCAGCCCUAGCUGGUCCUUUAAUAAUCCUCAUGUUAUUGUUAACUGUGGGACCCUGUUUACUCAACCGUGUGGUCUCCUUUCUCCAAGCUCAAAUUGGACAAGUUAAACUUAUGGUAAUAAGACAACAGUAUGUCCCUUUAGCAGACACAGAGUGUGAUACCCCUCAAUAAUCUGUCACUUCUAAGAUUAGAAGUACUCAGAAAAAGAAGUGGGGAAUGUAAAGGUUAAAUUUAAGUUUUGCUCUCCUGUUAAGUUUAAGUUUUGUUUUCCUGGAACCCGAAACUUAUGUUAAAAACAGUUACUUAUGUCAAAAUGUACCCUGACCCAACACCCCCUGACAAAACGCAUGAUUAUUCUGUAAUUGUUAUUUUGUAACAAUCCCACCCUCGAACCCUAACUGCCAUAUGAACUUCCCUGUUUAAACACUGCAUAAAAACUCUGCUUAAGCUGUGCUCAGAGCUCCAGCUUCUCUCAGGAGAACUCUGAACCCCAGCAUGCUGGUCCAGUAAACCCCUUUGCUUUUGCAUGAGACAGUCUCUUGGUGGUUCUUUCCUCCGAUGUUUGCCCGACCCUAACAG
rnacentral:lncRNA from 1 species